AUUGAACGCUGGCGGCAGGCUUAACACAUGCAAGUCGAGCGGAGAUGAGGUGCUUGCACCUUAUCUUAGCGGCGGACGGGUGAGUAAUGCUUAGGAAUCUGCCUAUUAGUGGGGGACAACAUUCCGAAAGGAAUGCUAAUACCGCAUACGUCCUACGGGAGAAAGCAGGGGACCUUCGGGCCUGGCGCUAAUAGAUGAGCCUAAGUCGGAUUAGCUAGUAGGUGGGGUAAAGGCCUACCAAGGCGACGAUCUGUAGCGGGUCUGAGAGGAUGAUCCGCCACACUGGGACUGAGACACGGCCCAGACUCCUAUGGGAGGCAGCAGUGGGGAAUAUUGGACAAUGGGCGGAAGCCUGAUCCAGCCAUGCCGCGUGUGUGAAGAAGGCCUUUUGGUUGUAAAGCACUUUAAGCGAGGAGGAGGCUACUUAGAUUAAUACUCUAGGAUAGUGGACGUUACUCGCAGAAUAAGCACCGGCUAACUCUGUGCCAGCAGCCGCCGUAACAC
rnacentral:rRNA from 1 species